rnacentral:rRNA from 1 species
CCUACGGGUGACAGCAGUGAGGAAUAUUGGUCAAUGGCCGGAAGGCUGAACCAGCCAUGCCGCGUGAAGGGCAGGGCCCUAUGGGCGUUAAACUUCUUUUGUGCGGGAGCAAUAAUGGUCACGUGUGGCCAGACGAGAGUACCGUACGAAUAAGCAUCGGCUAACUCCGUGCCAGCAGCCGCGGUAAUACGGGGGAUGCAAGCGUUAUCCGGAUUUAUUGGGUUUAAAGGGUGCGUAGGCUGUGAGGUAAGUCAGCGGUGAAAUGCCCCCGCUCAACGGGGUGAAGUGCCAUUGAUACUGCCUGGCUGGAAUGCGGAUGCCGUGGGAGGAAUGUGUGGUGUAGCGGUGAAAUGCAUAGAUAUCACGCAGAACACCGAUUGCGAAGGCAUCUCACGAAUCCGCGAUUGACGCUGAUGCACGAAAGCGUGGGUAUCAAACAGGAUUAGAUACCCUUGUAGUC